rnacentral:tRNA from 1 species
GGGGAUAUAGCUCAGUUGGUAGAGUGCUUGCCUUGCAUGCACAAGGCCCUGGGUUCAAUCCCCAGUACCACCC